GUGCUGGCAUUGGCUCAUACAAUUUUUGAAUGGCAAGGAACAUAAUAUUUCAAAUACAAAUUGCUAUAUGUGGCUGUGGAGUCCAUCCAUGAGAAGGAACUUUAAAAUUGGGACCUCAAAAGGAGGUGGAGGAGACACUGUAGAAGGGGAAUUAAUCCCAUUCAGUGGCAACACAAAGAAAAGUAUUGGAAAAGAAAGACAUCUGCUAGCUAAGGAGAACAUAGAUUGGCAAGAGAUGAAGUGGGACAACUGAAGGAAAGCUUCUUUAACAGCUCAGAGGAACAUAUUUUAAAUACUAUUUUGGAAUGGAACAGACCGAAGAUUUCAGUGCAUUUUGAUCUGAAUAUGGAAAGAUGAUGCCAAAUUAGGAAAAACUGAACUCUCUGGAGUGGGAUUUAAUCUUAAGGAAUGAAUAUGUUUUAGAUGAACAGUGGAAAAGGGCAUAUAUAUAUAUAUUUAUUUAUUUUUUCAGAGCUAGGCACAUACUUAUUAAAGGGAAAACUGAGCAAGAUUCCAGAUUUAAGCUCAAGACCCAUGUUCUCAGUCCCAGGUGCGUAGAAGUUGGAUAUGACUCAAGGAAUUUCUUUGGCUAACAGUGUUGUUAACAGUGGCAUGAAUGCUAACUGAUGGGACAACGAAUUUUAAUACAAUAAGCAAACGUGAGGUGAUAAAUCUUGACAUGAGCGAAGUCAUUUACCUAUAGCCAUAAGGUAAAGGAGUGUAUUUACUACCUCUUUGAGAUGCUAAUCCUUUAAAUAGUGGGCUUCAUCUUAAGAGAACUAUUUUGAAAUAAAGUAUAGAGGUAGAUACAAAAAACAAAGUAGCUAAAGCUGAAAGAUGCUACAUUUGCAGUGAGAUCACAAGUUGCAUCAUCCUCUGGGUUUCUAAGAAGACAACCCAAACAACUUUGACUAAUUUCUUUAGCCAGUGAAUGGCACGCUUAUGUUUUUCCUCAAAGAUUUACUUAAGCGAAAAGUUCUAUAACUGUGGAUGCCUUGAAGUGGUUCCCUUCUGGUUGAAUUUAAUAUGUCCCUGUUUCUUCUUCGGGCUUUCAGGGAUUUGCCUCAGUCCCCAGGAGGCCUUAAUACUUUGAGCAAGCUGCAAUGACAUCUCACAACACGCUGGCCACAGUGACUUCAAUGUGGAGCUUCAUUUUCUUUGUCUUUCAGACUAUGACAGAAGGAGGACUUCUAUACUAUUUGCUUAGUUGAUGAAUAUUGUGCCUGAAUGUCAUACUUAUACAAAGAAACAGCAGAUGUGAAUUUCAGGUUUUUCUCAGUCUCAAUGCACAAAUCCCCAUUUCCGUGAAGAGUGCCCUAGACGUGCUGCUUUGGAAGGGGAUAUCCAUCAGUCUCUCUGUUGAAGUGCAAUAGAGCCAGGAACAGGGAAUACUGGAAACAUCCUUCUGACAACAUCUGGAAAAAAAAAAAUCUAUGUUUCUACUCAGUGAGUGAAUGAGAAUAUGUUUUUUUUGGCAGGCUCCACCUGUAGGGACAAGUGUAAAGUAAACUGGAUUUUAUUAGGUUGCUGGAUGAGAAAAUGUUAAGAAAAAGAAGGGACAAGUCUCCAAGCAGGCUGCAUCUUACUGGGCUGAGGAAGGAGAAGGUGGUGGCUGCUGCAACUAACACAACACAAACUGUGCAGCAGGUAACUCCUUCUCACUGUGGGUUACUACACAACGCACAGCUUAAGUGGAGAGGGGUUUGGUAAAUAAUUAAAAGAUAAAAACAUUCCCUUUUACAUUUUCUCUUCAAUAUGAAAAGGAGAAAUUAGUUUAUUUGAACUUAAUUUUAAAUAAUAUGAUCCCUAAGCUCCUAUAUAUUUUUAUUAGAUGCUUUUACAGAGGAUAAAACAUGUUCCUGUAGACUGAAUAUAUUUUAAAAGUCCCCAACAUAAUAAAUACAUCUAUGGAGAAAGAGGUGCCUGAAAGCCAGUUAUAUGAAAUUACAAGAUAAGUGCCCUUAAAUUUUGCUCCUUGUGAAAGCUGGCUUUGCACAACAAAAAUGAAGGAGUAGACGAUUUAUUAUUAACAGUGAAAUAGAAAGACCACCAAUGAACAACUUGAGAAGAUUUAUAGCAAACAUUACUUCUGCAGGAUUAGAUGACAUGAUAGUUUUUAUAAUACUGUGAACUUUGUAAGAAAGAAUAGAAAGGGACAGCCGCCUUCUUGAGAACAGAAAUUUACACAACCAAUUCCUAGGUUUUCUCUUUUGUUUUUCAAUAGGGCAAAAUGGAUUUAAUAUUAGAAAUAUGUUUCUUUCUGGAUCCAAUUUCAUCUAGGCCACACUCUUUAAAUAUGAAUCUAUAAUCCAACUGACCACUCUUGCAAAGUUCCCUCUAAUAUAUCUGUAAAGCAAAAUAUGUGUGCAAGCACAGACUGCAUGAGUUUAACUAAAUUGGCUUGGAGCACACAUAUUUUAGCUAAGCGAGUGUAGGAUUUUGUGCAGACAAUGUCUAUAUCACCUACCUAUGAGUUCUGUUUUAGUUAGGAAAUAUCUGAAUGGAAUGUCUGUGAGGGAGGAGAAAAUUGAGUUAUAAUCGGUUAUUAGAACUUUUAAUGCAAGCCACAUUACAGGGGGAAUAAUUAUCAUUCUUCAGCUGGUUACUGUGAAGGCUACUAAAACACUACUGAGGCUUCUGGAAACAAACAACAACAAAACAAAAGGAAAAAAUCAUUUGCUGGGAAAUAUAUUUACACUUUAAUAGGGGGAAAAAAAGAGAAAUAUCCAUAGACAAAAAGAGAAAAUAAUCUUUGAGAGUUUAAUACUUUAAUUUAAAGCAUUUCAAGAAAAAGAACCAAAAUCUGCUCUUAAAUAUACAUGACUUUCUAUAAGUCAAAAGAGGGUAGCACAAGCAUCUCCAAAGGAUAAAAUUCGGUUCAUGGACAUCAGGAAAAAAAGAGACUUGAGAAAUUGCAAACUCCAUAUAGCAUCAUCAUCAUUAUUGUAAUAAAACAUGUGGUUGAAUUUUAGAAAGUGUUUGCAAAUGUGAUGACAAAUGAUAAAUAAAUCAGAACAAGUGAUGGAAAAUGCAACUGAAGAUUAUUGCUGUUCAAUAACAGGCACAGUGCAAGGUCAUCUGCAAAUUUAUAUAUAUAUAGAGAGAGAACUCAAGUUUCACAAUAAAAUCUUAAAGUUUCUAGCAUUAAAAACACUUAAAAGUGUGAACUUGGGUAUGAAGAAAGUCAUUGUAUAAUCAUAAGGGCAGUGAAUUCCUUUAAAUAUCAUAUCUUUCUAACUCGUAUUGCACCUAUAUAAUUUCUGAUUGAGAAGACAUUGCUGUAUGUGUCUGGUUGUGCUUAUGACUCCUGAAAUGACUAAGUGUCCAUAUUGAUAAUUACCAAGCUGUAGUAAACUGGCUUAAGAGCUGUUGGCAAAACUGUUCUACUUCCUUCCACCACCUGCAAAUGCAGAACACAAGAGAGAACUAAAAUGAAAUAAAUAGCAGCUGUUCUUUUCCCUGCUUGAUAAGUUGGUCUUAUACCAGAAAUCUCCAUGAGAGUUCAAAGUAUUGGAGACAGGAAGAUAGGAAGGCGUCAUGAGCUGUGUUAAGUUGAAAUAGUUCAUACAAGGGGUCAUGUGAACAGAAGGGCUGUUGAUGACUAAAAUCUUGCAAUCUGUUUUUGUGGCCCUAAGGGAAAAUUACAGUAGUUCAUCUUCCUCGAAUAAGGCUGGAUACUUUAUAGUGAUGUUUGGUAACUAAAUAGACUGUGUAGCUCUUUUUAACUUCUAGAUAACAACAACAACAACAAUAAAUCAUUUAGAUGAUAAAGAAUUAUAUUCUAAAUUCUUAUGAAAAACAUUACUGUCUU